rnacentral:tRNA from 1 species
GGGAAUGUGACUUAGUUGUAGAGUGCUUGCCUAGCAUGCAUGAAGCCCUGGGUUCAAUUCCUCAGUACCA